rnacentral:rRNA from 1 species
UACGAAGGGGGCUAGCGUUGCUCGGAAUCACUGGGCGUAAAGGGUGCGUAGGCGGGUCUUUUAAGUCAGGGGGUGAAAUCCUGGAGCUCAACUCCAGAACUGCCUUUGAUACUGAAGAUCUUGAGUUCGGGAGAGGUGAGUGGAACUGCGAGUGUAGAGGUGAAAUUCGUAGAUAUUCGCAAGAACACCAGUGGCGAAGGCGGCUCACUGGCCCGAUACUGACGCUGAGGCACGAAAGCGUGGGGAGCAAACAGG